UACGAAGGGGGCUAGCGUUGCUCGGAAUCACUGGGCGUAAAGCGCACGUAGGCGGGUCCUUAAGUCGGGGGUGAAAUCCCGGAGCUCAACUCCGGAACUGCCUUCGAUACUGGGGACCUCGAGUCCGGGAGAGGUGAGUGGAACUGCGAGUGUAGAGGUGAAAUUCGUAGAUAUUCGCAAGAACACCAGUGGCGAAGGCGGCUCACUGGCCCGGUACUGACGCUGAGGUGCGAAAGCGUGGGGAGCAAACGGG
rnacentral:rRNA from 1 species